rnacentral:rRNA from 1 species
CAGAGGCCUCGAGCGUUAGGCGGAAUCACUGGGCUUAAAGCGUGUGUAGGCGGAUUGGUAAGUACCUUGUGAAAUCCCACAGCUUAACUGUGGAACUGCUCGGUAUACUGCUGAUCUUGAGCCACUCAGGGGCUACCGGAACAAAUGGUGGAGCGGUGAAAUGCGUAGAUAUCAUUUGGAACGCCAAUGGUGAAAACAGGUAGCUGGGGGUGUGCUGACGCUGAGACACGAAAGCCAGGGGAGCAAACGGGAUUAGAUACCCCGGUAGUCCUGGCCGUAAACGAUGUCGACUAGAUCGUGGUGCCUCUGACGGUGUCACGGUCGUAGCAAAAGUGCUAAGUCGACCGCCUGGGAAGUACGGUCGCAAGGCUA